UAUGAUAACAAUAAAAAGUUUGUUCUUUCUUGGGAAUCAGUUGGAUUUUAAUUUGUUUAGAAGAGUUGAUUUUUAGGGUAUUUUGCAGAUGGAAUAACACGAGAAAGUUAUAAGGAACAAAUACACAAAGAUACUGACUGCAAAUUGUGACCGACCGUUGCUGGAACUCUAGCCGCAAAAAUACAAGUGAAGCAUCUUUUCUGUGUACCCCUCAAAAGUGUAUGCUCAUUAAGACCCAUCUGUAUAAGGGACAGCAUGGAUUUCCUCAAUCACAUUACACGCACUUUCUCAGAAUUUAUUAUAUUUACAAGCUUUGACGUUACUAAUUUUUAAACUUUGUAACACUGCGUAAAAAAAACAUGGACGGAUAGACGAACGCUUUAAAACCGACUUCAUUACCAAGACCACGAUACUGCUGCUAGAAGAAAACACUAAGACUCGAUAAUAAAACCUAUCUAACGGUGUCUGUCAAGAGACCUUCUUUAUGGUCAUUAUGUCUUUUAUUCAAAUUAAUGAUGAUGGAUGAAGGGAAACAAUUAUGUUACACUGUUACUGGUGUUUCUGAAUGUUGUUCUAAUGUUAAUAGCAUGAUGAUAAUCUCUAUUAAUACCAACUAAAAUAAAUGAACGUACCAAAGGUUUGCUAACUGCUUUCGUUCUUCCGUCGCUCCUCAUUGUAGUACAGAGUUUGUAACGAAUGAAAUGUGCACCAGACAAACCACUACUCCUCGAAAAGUGAAAACUGCCCCAGCUAAGCCUAAGGAGAAAAAAAGCACUUCUAAGCGUAACGAGAUGAAUAUUCAAAGAGUAUUGCUUCCAGUACUCGUCGUUACUUUUUUGCUUUUAAUGCAAAGUUGAAAAAAACAAAUCAUGCAAUGACAAUUUGUUUGCGUUAUUCUUUAAUUUCUAUUGAUUCAUCACAACUUAUGUAUGUGAAAUGUGUGAUAAGAAGUGGAGGUGGGGAGGGAUUAAACACCUGAAUCUUA